rnacentral:rRNA from 1 species
UACGGAGGAUCCGAGCGUUAUCCGGAUUUAUUGGGUUUAAAGGGUGCGUAGGCGGCAUUAUAAGUUAGUGGUAAAAUAUUGGGGCUUCACCUCACUACGCCAUUAAUACUGUUGAGCUAGAGAGUAGUUGCGGUAGGCGGAAUGUAUGGUGUAGCGGUGAAAUGCUUAGAGAUCAUACAGAACACCGAUUGCGAAGGCAGCUUACCAAACUAUAUCUGACGUUGAGGCACGAAAGCGUGGGGAGCAAACAGG